rnacentral:rRNA from 1 species
CAGCCGCCGCGGGAAUACGAACCGUGCGAACGUUAUUCGGAAUUACUGGGCUUAAAGCGCGUGUAGGCGGGUCGGCACGUCGGUCGCUGAAAUCCCCCGGCUCAACCGGGGAAGUGGCGCCGAUACGGCCGGCCUGGAGGGGGGUAGGGGGGCCUGGAACUUCCGGUGGAGCGGUGAAAUGCGUUGAGAUCGGAAGGAACGCCCGUGGCGAAAGCGAGGCCCUGGACCCUUUCUGACGCUGAGACGCGAAAGCCAGGGGAGCGAACGGGAUUAGAUACCCGCGUAGUCCCUGUCUCUUAUA